CCUACGGGCGGCUACAGUGGGGAAUAUUGGACAAUGGGCGAAAGCCUGAUCCAGCCAUGCCGCGUGUGUGAAGAAGGCCUUCGGGUUGUAAAGCACUUUCAGUGGGGAAGAAAGCCUUGGGGCUAAUACCCUCGAGGAAGGACAUCACCCACAGAAGAAGCACCGGCUAACUCCGUGCCAGCAGCCGCGGUAAUACGGAGGGUGCGAGCGUUAAUCGGAAUUACUGGGCGUAAAGCGCGCGUAGGCGGUCUGAUAAGCCGGUUGUGAAAGCCCCGGGCUCAACCUGGGAACGGCAUCCGGAACUGUCAGGCUAGAGUGCAGGAGAGGAAGGUAGAAUUCCCGGUGUAGCGGGGAAAUGCGUAGAGAUCGGGAGGAAUACCAGUGGCGAAGGCGGCCUUCUGGACUGACACUGACGCUGAGGUGCGAAAGCGUGGGUAGCAAACAGGAUUAGAUACCCGUGUAGUC
rnacentral:rRNA from 1 species